UAGGGAAUCUUCCGCAAUGGACGCAAGUCUGACGGAGCAACGCCGCGCGAGUGAAGAAGGAUUUCGGUUCGUAAAACUCUGUUGUUAGAGAAGAACAGCGCAUAGAGUAACUGUUAUGCGUGUGACGGUAUCUAACCAGAAAGCCACGGCUAACUACGUGCCAGCAGCCGCGGUAAUACGUAGGUGGCAAGCGUUGUCCGGAUUUAUUGGGCGUAAAGCGAGCGCAGGCGGUCAAUUAAGUCUGAUGUGAAAGCCCCCGGCUCAACCGGGGAGGGUCAUUGGAAACUGGUUGACUUGAGUGCAGAAGAGGAGAGUGGAAUUCCAUGUGUAGCGGUGAAAUGCGUAGAUAUAUGGAGGAACACCAGUGGCGUAGGCGACUCUCUGGUCUGUAACUGACGCUGAGGCUCGAAAGCGUGGGUAGCAAACAGG
rnacentral:rRNA from 1 species